rnacentral:rRNA from 1 species
GAUGAACGCUGGCGGCGUGCUUAACACAUGCAAGUCGAACGAUGAAGCUCAGCUUGCUGGGUGGAUUAGUGGCGAACGGGUGAGUAACACGUGAGUAACCUGCCCUUAACUCUGGGAUAAGCCUGGGAAACUAGGUCUAAUACCGGAUAGGAGCGCCUACCGCAUGGUGGGUGUUGGAAAGAUUUAUCGGUUUUGGAUGGACUCGCGGCCUAUCAGCUUGUUGGUGAGGUAAUGGCUCACAAAGGCGACGACGGGUAUCCGGCGUGAGAGGGUGACCGGCCACACUGCGACUGAGACACGGCCCAGACUCCUACGGUAGGCAGCAGUGGGGAAUAUUGCACAAUGAUCGAAAGCCUGAUGCAGCGACGCCGCGUGUGGAAUGCCCGCCUUCGGGUUAUAAACCUCUUUCAGUAGGUAAGAAGCGAAAGUGACGGUACCUGCAGAAUAAGCACCGGCUAACUACGUG